UAAACCUGGUUGAUCCUGCCAGUAGUCAUAUGCUUGUCUCAAAGAUUAAGCCAUGCAUGUCUCAGUAUAAGCUUCUAUACGGCGAAACUGCGAAUGGCUCAUUAAAACAGUUAUAGUUUAUUUGAUGGUCAAUUCAUUACAUGGAUAACCGUGGUAAUUCUAGAGCUAAUACAUGCGCCUAACCGAACCUACGU
rnacentral:rRNA from 1 species